GAUGAACGCUGGCGGCGUGCCUAAUACAUGCAAGUCGAGCGAACAGACGAGGGGCUUGCUCCUCUGACGUUAGCGUCGGACGGGUGAGUAACACGUGGAUAACCUACCUAUAAGACUGGGAUAACUUCGGGAAACCGGAGCUAAUACCGGAUAAUAUAUUGAAGCGCAUGGUUCAAUAGUGAAAGACGGUUUUGCUGUCACUUAUAGAUGGAUCCGCGCCGCAUUAGCUAGUUGGUAAGGUAACGGCUUACCAAGGCAACGAUGCGUAGCCGACCUGAGAGGGUGAUCGGCCACACUGGAACUGAGACACGGUCCAGACUCCUACGGGAGGCAGCAGUAGGGAAUCUUCCGCAAUGGGCGAAAGCUUGACGGAGCAACGCCGCGUGAGUGAUGAAGGUCUUCGGAUCGUAAAACUCUGUUAUUAGGGAAGAACAAAUUUGUAAGUAACUAUGCACGUCUUGACGGUACCUAAUCAGAAAGCCACGGCUAACUACGUG
rnacentral:rRNA from 1 species